CGCGUGCUUACCUGCAAGUCGAACGAUGAAGCGGAGCUUGCUCCGCGGAUUAGUGGCGAACGGGUGAGUAACACGUGAGCAACCUGCCCCAAACUCUGGAAUAACUCCGGGAAACCGGAGCUAAUACCGGAUACGUCAACCGGCGGCAUCGCCUGGUUGUGGAAAGUUUUUCGGUUUGGGAUGGGCUCGCGGCCUAUCAGCUAGUUGGUGAGGUAACGGCUCACCAAGGCGACGACGGGUAGCCGGCCUGAGAGGGUGACCGGCCACACUGGGACUGAGACACGGCCCAGACUCCUACGGGAGGCAGCAGUGGGGAAUAUUGCACAAUGGGCGCAAGCCUGAUGCAGCAACGCCGCGUGAGGGAUGACGGCCUUCGGGUUGUAAACCUCUUUUAGCAGGGAAGAAGCGAAAGUGACGGUACCUGCAGAAAAAGCACCGGCUAACUACGUGCCAGCAGCCGCGGUAAUACGUAGGGUGCAAGCGUUGUCCGGAAUUAUUGGGCGUAAAGAGCUCGUAGGCGGUUUGUCACGUCUGCUGUGAAAAUCCAAGGCUCAACCUUGGACUUGCAGUGGGUACGGGCAGGCUAGAGUGCGGUAGGGGAGAUGGGAAUUCCUGGUGUAGCGGUGGAAUGCGCAGAUAUCAGGAGGAACACCAAUGGCGAAGGCACAUCUCUGGGCCGUAACUGACGCUGAGGAGCGAAAGCGUGGGGAGCGAACAGGAUUAGAUACCCUGGUAGUCCACGCCGUAAACGGUGGGUGCUAGCUGUGGGCCACAUUCC
rnacentral:rRNA from 1 species